UACGGAGGGUGCAAACGUUGCUCGGAAUCAUUGGGCGUAAAGCGCACGUAGGCGGCCUGUUAAGUCGGGUGUGAAAGCCCUGGGCUCAACCCAGGAAGUGCACUCGAAACUGGCGGGCUUGAAUAUGGAAGAGGGUCGCGGAAUUCCCGGUGUAGAGGUGAAAUUCGUAGAUAUCGGGAGGAACACCAGUGGCGAAGGCGGCGACCUGGGCCAAAUAUUGACGCUGAGGUGCGAAAGCGUGGGGAGCAAACAGG
rnacentral:rRNA from 1 species